rnacentral:rRNA from 1 species
AGAGUUUGAUCCUGGCUCAGGACGAACGCUGGCGGCGCGCUUAACACAUGCAAGUCGAACGGAAAGGCCCUUUCGGGGGUACUCGAGUGGCGAACGGGUGAGUAACACGUGGGUGAUCUGCCCUGCACUUUGGGAUAAGCCUGGGAAACUGGGUCUAAUACCGAAUACACCCUGCUGGUCGCAUGGCCUGGUGGGGGAAAGCUUUUGCGGUGUGGGAUGGGCCCGCGGCCUAUCAGCUUGUUGGUGGGGUGAUGGCCUACCAAGGCGACGACGGGUAGCCGGCCUGAGAGGGUGUCCGGCCACACUGGGACUGAGAUACGGCCCAGACUCCUACGGGAGGCAGCAGUGGGGAAUAUUGCACAAUGGGCGCAAGCCUGAUGCAGCGACGCCGCGUGGGGGAUGACGGCCUUCGGGUUGUAAACCUCUUUCACCAUCGGCGAAGCCCAUGAUUUUUGUUGUGGGUGACGGUAGGUGGAGAAGAAGCACCGGCCAACUACGUGCCAGCAGCCGCGGUAAUACGUAGGGUGCGAGCGUUGUCCGGAAUUACUGGGCGUAAAGAGCUCGUAGGUGGUUUGUCGCGUUGUCCGUGAAAUUCCCUGGCUUAACUGGGGGCGUGCGGGCGAUACGGGCAGACUAGAGUACUGCAGGGGAGACUGGAAUUCCUGGUGUAGCGGUGGAAUGCGCAGAUAUCAGGAGGAACACCGGUGGCGAAGGCGGGUCUCUGGGCAGUAACUGACGCUGAGGAGCGAAAGCGUGGGGAGCGAACAGGAUUAGAUACCCUGGUAGUCC